UACGUAGGGGGCAAGCGUUGUCCGGAUUUAUUGGGCGUAAAGAGCGUGUAGGCGGCCAGGUAGGUCUGCUGUGAAAACUCGAGGCUCAACCUCGAGAUGUCGGCGGAAACCAUAUGGCUAGAGUCCGGAAGAGGAGAAUGGAAUUCCCGGUGUAGCGGUGAAAUGCGCAGAUAUCGGGAAGAACACCCGUGGCGAAGGCGGUUCUCUGGGACGGUACUGACGCUGAGACGCGAAAGCGUGGGGAGCGAACAGG
rnacentral:rRNA from 1 species